UGGAAAGAUCAAUCGAGGAGCCCGAGGCGAGCUAAAGCUCCAUAAGGAGAAGAGCUCGGCAUGAUGACCGAAAAGGGGUCGAACACAAGUAAAGACCGAAGUCGGGUACUUUGGAAAUUUUCUUACUUUUAUUAUCUUUCAGUAUAUAUAUUGAUCUCGACAGUGCCCAAACGAAAGAAACUACACAAAAGGUCAAAGCUUGGAGCGACGACCUGAACUUGAGCAAAAAUAAAUAAGAAGGAUGAAAACUAUUGUCAGGUACUUCAAAUUUUUUUAUUAUUAUUUUCAUUGUUUUUCUGCAUAUAUAUUGACCUUGACAAAUAUCAAGCAAAAAGAGCUACAACAAAAGGUCAAAGCUUGGGGCAACGAUCUGAACUCAAGCAAAAGUAAACAAGAAGGAUGAAAACCAAAGUUGGGUACUUCGAAAUUUUUUUUAUUUUUAUUGUCUUUCUGCAUAUAUAUUGACCUUGGCAGAAACCGAGCAAAAAGAGCUCUAAUAAAAUAUCAAAGCUUGGGGCGACGACUUGGACUCAAACAAAAAACAAACAAGGGCAAAAAUUGAAGCUAGAGACCAGGCAAAACAAAAAGUACAUUGAGCUCGGUUUACCUGAGCGAAAAGAAAAAGGACUUCAUCCUUCACCACCUUCGUCACCGACGCAUUUAAGGCUCCCUGACAAAAGCUCCAUCCUCGAUCGAGAUGACGACAUGACUUUCG
rnacentral:lncRNA from 1 species